GAUGAACGCUGGCGGCGUGCUUAACGCAUGCAAGUCGAGCGAGAAGUUUUGAAAAGAUUCUUCGGAUGAAAUUUAAAAUGGAAAGCGGCGGACGGGUGAGUAACGCGUAGGCAACCUGCCCCAUGCAAAGGGAUAGCAUUUGGAAACGAAUAUUAAUACCUUAUGAAACUUAACUAGUGCAUGCUAGGUAGGUCAAAGAUUUAUCGGUAUGGGAUGGGCCUGCGUCUGAUUAGCUAGUUGGUGAGGUAACGGCUCACCAAGGCGACGAUCAGUAGCCGACCUGAGAGGGUGAACGGCCACAUUGGAACUGAGACACGGUCCAAACUCCUACGGGAGGCAGCAGUGGGGAAUAUUGCACAAUGGGGGAAACCCUGAUGCAGCAACGCCGCGUGAACGAUGAAGGCCUUUGGGUCGUAAAGUUCUGUUCUAGGUGAUGAAAACUGACAGUAACCUAGGAGAAAACCCCGGCUAACUCCGU
rnacentral:rRNA from 1 species